rnacentral:tRNA from 1 species
AUAUUUUAAAGUAUCUAACUUUCUUAAUAUCUUCAAUAUUAUACUUUAUAUAAGCUAUUAAAAUA